rnacentral:rRNA from 1 species
GACGAACGCUGGCGGCGUGCUUAAUACAUGCAAGUCGAACGGAAAGGUCCUGCUUUUGUGGGGGGCUCGAGUGGCGAACGGGUGAGUAAAACGUGAGUAACAUGCCCUUGACUUUGGGAUAAAUUCAGGAAAAUGGGGAUAAUACCGGAUAGGAGCUCCUGCUGCAUGGUGGGGGUUGGAAAGUUUCGGCGGUUGGGGAUGGACUCGCGGCUUAUCAGCUUGUUGGUGGGGUAGUGGAUUACCAAGGCUUUGACGGGUAGCCGGCCUGAGAGGGUGACCGGCCACAUUGGGACUGAGAUACGGCCCAUACUCCUACGGGAGGCAGCAGUGGGGAAUAUUGCACAAUGGGCGGAAGCCUGAUGCAGCAACGCCGCGUGCGAGAAGACGGCCUUCGGGUUGUAAACCGCUUUCGCCUGUGACGAAGCGUGAGUGACGGUAAUGGGUAAAGAAGCACCGGCUAACUACGU